rnacentral:rRNA from 1 species
AGCGAACGCUGGCGGCAGGCUUAACACAUGCAAGUCGAACGGGCUUCUUCGGAAGUCAGUGGCAGACGGGUGAGUAACACGUGGGAACGUGCCCUUCGGUUCGGAAUAACUCAGGGAAACUUGAGCUAAUACCGGAUACGCCCUUUUGGGGAAAGGUUUACUGCCGAAGGAUCGGCCCGCGUCUGAUUAGCUUGUUGGUGGGGUUACGGCCUACCAAGGCGACGAUCAGUAGUUGGUCUGAGAGGAUGAUCAGCCACACUGGGACUGAGACACGGCCCAGACUCCUACGGGAGGCAGCAGUGGGGAAUAUUGGACAAUGGGCGCAAGCCUGAUCCAGCCAUGCCGCGUGAGUGAUGAAGGCCUUAGGGUUGUAAAGCUCUUUUGUCCGGGACGAUAAUGACGGUACCGGAAGAAUAAGCCCCGGCUAACUUCGUG